UCUAGGUCUUCUUGAUGCUCUUAUUCCUUUGCUGGUAACCUUCUUUUUUAUUAUUUACAGGUGGCUACUAACUUGGAUGUGAAGUCAUUUUGCUUAUGUUCCUAAAAAGCACCUGAAAUACUUAGAAUGUCAUGUUAUUCUUAAGAAGUGUCCUUGUCAUCAGAUAUCUCCUCUAUAUCAAAAGCAUUCUUCAUCAAUUAGAGACUAUCGCAUUUACGUAAUCGUCCUCUUAUUAAGAAGAUUCUGCUGAACUGCUGACAAUGAUGUACAGUAGUGCUUCGCUGGUAUGACGUUUGGGGAAAACGAUUCUGCUGCACCACCACACAAAACCAAUUAGAGAACUAUUUUCUACGACAGGUCAGGAAUUUACAUUGUUUCUCAUAGAAAGAUGUGCUUUUUAAUUUCUUUAUUAAGAUGACAUCCAUGUCCCUUGUAACUUUUAGGCAUGACAAUCAUUUGCUCAUCACAUGGGAAAGUACAAUCAGCGAAAUCACAUUACCGGUACGGGGCAAUGCCAGAAACUCCAAGCAUCGUUCCACAUUUUCCAAAUGAACUAGUUUGAGAACCAAUAAUUAGAACAAUAUAUAUUGACAGAAUUUUUUGACAAGACCUCUAGUUACUCACCGGGGGGGAAAAGUAAUGAUAGUACAUAUACAACAAGCUAUGUUAUGUUUGCUGCACAUACAAACAUCAUCUUUGUCAAAUCAUUAAGACAUCAAGAAAUCCUGUAUGUCUUGGUAUUGGGACAUGAUAUGAGAUACUAAGCUUUUUCUCCUUUUUUUUUCUGAGUUGUGGAUAGGAAACUGUUUCUCCUUAGUGAAGUGCUGAUGGUGAGUAUUUUUAUACUGAAGUGAAUAUAUCCAAAAGCAAAUUUAAAGUAGUAUCUCUGAUAUGACAAAUUCACAAAGUCAAAUAUUUCCCCAUAUAAGGCUGAAAUGAUAUCAAUAACUCACUCCAUUCACCUCACUCUUUAUCAGCGACGGCUUCCUCAAAAUACCAAAACACGGGGAGAUAAGUUAAAGUGGAAUUUUGUUUAUCAUGCAAAUAGAAAUUUGCUAAACUAAAUCACAAUCGUAGAUUGCUUAAACAUACAAAUCUCUAAGGACAGUCUUACAUAAAAGAAAAAAGAGAAGAAAGAGAAAUAAAUAUUUGAUUAAACAUAUUAAGCAUUAUAAAUUAUGCCUGUAUUAGCUUUAUGAAUGUACUAAGAUAGUCUUUGGAUUAUUAUUAUUAAUCUGUAUUCUUAACAAGCCAUUACUAUAUAUAGUGUGAAUGUACAUUAACAAUAAAAAGACAUAUUUUAACAGAA